UGACUUCUGAACCAAUCGCACGAAGCGUGUUCCCGCUUCCAGGAAACGCAGCAGACACGGAGAGUUAUAAACGUAUAAAAACUGCGCCAUUCCACACGGUAGCGAUUCAGUUGCUGCCGAAGUCGUUCCAAUUUUCAGCUGAACACCAUCUGUCUUCCAGAUAGGAUGGAUCUCAUAAGGAAACUGAUCUUGCUGUUGCUGGUAUUGUCCAUUGCGAGCGCUUAUGAAGAGGAAGAAGAAGAGAAGUGUGGAGACGCGUGCGCCGACAACCCCUGCCACCCUGGGGAGGAGUGCUUCCCGGCCACGAUCUGGUGCUUCACAACGCCCUGCUGCCCCGUCGCCUCCUGCAGGAACAUCACAGAGCCGAACCCGAAGCCGGCGGCAGACUGAGUUAUUGCAAAACAACUGUGUACCGAAUUCAUGAAAAGCGGAACGAUGAA